CCUACGGGGGGCUGCAGUGAGGAAUAUUGGUCAAUGGACGGAAGUCUGAACCAGCCAUGCCGCGUGCAGGAAGACGGCUCUAUGAGUUGUAAACUGCUUUUGUACAAGGGUAAACCUGAAUACGUGUAUUCAGCUGAAAGUACUGUACGAAUAAGGAUCGGCUAACUCCGUGCCAGCAGCCGCGGUAAUACGGAGGAUCCAAGCGUUAUCCGGAUUUAUUGGGUUUAAAGGGUGCGUAGGCGGAUUGGUAAGUUAGAGGUGAAAUGUCCGAGCUUAACUCGGGAACUGCCUCUAAUACUGUUGAGCUAGAGAGUAGAUGCGGUAGGCGGAAUGUAUGGUGUAGCGGUGAAAUGCUUAGAGAUCAUACAGAACACCGAUUGCGAAGGCAGCUUACCAAUCUAUAUCUGACGUUGAGGCACGAAAGCGUGGGGAUCAAACAGGAUUAGAUACCCCAGUAGUC
rnacentral:rRNA from 1 species